rnacentral:rRNA from 1 species
CCUACGGGCGGCAGCAGUGGGGAAUAUUGCACAAUGGGGGAAACCCUGAUGCAGCGACGCCGCGUGAGUGAAGAAGUACUUCGUUACGUAAAGCUCUAUCAGCAGGGAAGAAAUACUGACCUUACGGUCAGCAGACGGUACCUGAGUAAGAAGCCCCGGCUAACUACGUGCCAGCAGCCGCGGUAAUACGCAGGGGGCAAGGGUUAUCCGGAUUUACUGGGUGUAAAGGGAGCGUAGACGGUGCGCCAAGUCUGGGGUGAAAUGCCGCAGCUUAACUGCGGGACUGCUUUGGAAACUGGCGAGCUAGAGUGCGGGAGGGGUAAGCGGAAUUCCUGGUGUAGCGGUGAAAUGCGUAGAUAUUAGGAGGAACACCGGUGGCGAAGGCGGCUUACUGGACCGUAACUGACGUUGAGGCUCGAAAGCGUGGGGAGCGAACAGGAUUAGAUACCCUAGUAGUC